CCCGCACAAGCGGUGGAGCAUGUGGUUUUAAUUCGAAGCAACGCGAAGAACCUUACCAGGCCUUGACAUGCAGAGAACUUUCCAGAGAUGGAUUGGUGCCUUCGGGAACUCUGACACAGGUGCUGCAUGGUUGUCGUCAGCUCGUGCCGUGAGGUGUCGGGUUAAGUCCCAUAACGAGCGCAACCCCUAUCAUUAGUUGCCAUCAGGUCAAGCUGGGGACUCUAAUGAAACUGCCUACGCAAGUAGUGAGGAAGGUGGGGAUGACGUCAAGUCAUCAUGGCCCUUAUGUCCAGGGCGACACACGUGCUACAAUGGCCGGCACAGCGGGAAGCGAGGCAGUGAUGCCAAGCGGAUCCCUUAAAGCCGGUCUCAGUUCGGAUUGAAGUCUGCAACUCGACUUCAUGAAGCUGGAAUCGCUAGUAAUCGCAGAUCAGCCAAGCUGCGGUGAAUACGUUCCCGGGCCUU
rnacentral:rRNA from 1 species